UACGUAGGGGGCUAGCGUUGUCCGGAUUUAUUGGGCGUAAAGAGCGUGUAGGCGGCCAAGUAGGUCCGGUGUGAAAACUCGAGGCUUAACCUCGAGAUGUCAUCGGAAACCAUUUGGCUAGAGUCCGGAAGAGGAAAGUGGAAUUCCUGGUGUAGCGGUGAAAUGCGUAGAUAUCUGGAGGAACACCGGUGGCGAAGGCGGCAUUCUGGACCAUAACUGACACUGAGAGACGAAAGCCAGGGGAGCAAACGGG
rnacentral:rRNA from 1 species